GCUUGCUUCUAUGACGUUAGCGGCGGACGGGUGAGUAACACGUGGGCAACCUGCCUGUAAGACUGGGAUAACUUCGGGAAACCGAAGCUAAUACCGGAUAGGAUCUUCUCCUUCAUGGGAGAUGAUUGAAAGAUGGUUUCGGCUAUCACUUACAGAUGGGCCCGCGGUGCAUUAGCUAGUUGGUGAGGUAACGGCUCACCAAGGCAACGAUGCAUAGCCGACCUGAGAGGGUGAUCGGCCACACUGGGACUGAGACACGGCCCAGACUCCUACGGGAGGCAGCAGUAGGGAAUCUUCCGCAAUGGACGAAAGUCUGACGGAGCAACGCCGCGUGAGUGAUGAAGGCUUUCGGGUCGUAAAACUCUGUUGUUAGGGAAGAACAAGUACGAGAGUAACUGCUUGUACCUUGACGGUACCUAACCAGAAAGCCACGGCUAACUACGUGCCAGC
rnacentral:rRNA from 1 species